rnacentral:lncRNA from 1 species
UAAGGGGCCACAUGUGCACUAGGGGGAUUAGGUGGAGCCACCGGGAAUUAGUGCCUUAUGCAAACAGGGAACCCAGCCCCAUCAGCUUAGAUAUAUAGAAGCCCUUGUAUUCAACUGAAAAGGAGGGCAACCAGGAACCUACUUUCAGGAUUUCUCUUUUUGCUGAGAGCUUUCCUUUCACUUAAUAAAUUCUACUCCACUCACUCUUCAAGCCUCCGCAUGCCUACUUCUUCCUGGUUGUAAGACAAGAAGCCAGACCUAGCUGAGCUAAAGAGCAAGAAAUCCUGUGUCAUUUUGGGAGCUCGCACAGGAUGCCUGGAGGGGCUGUCAUGGCACCUCUUUUUAAAUGAUGUUAAGGGUGCUGCUGCAAACUGCAGAGAUAUUACUAUGUAGAAUGAGCAUUUGGCCAAGCCACCAGAUAUGCAAUUCAGGAUAAUGUGAUUUCCAUCUGUUCUUAGAGGCAUCCCUCAGCUCCACCCAAUGGCCACAGGUCACAAUUGGAGAAACUGGUUGUUUUACCAAGGCUUUGACUGGAAGGAUGUGCUUCCCUUUAAGGAAUCAAGCAUGACCUGCAGAACCAAUUAAAGCUCCUUAGGAACUUUGGCCUCAUACCUUGUCUAAAGAGUCCCUGUACAGGGUUCCUAACCUGUGGUGAGUAAAGAAUGUCACUUUCUAACAGGCCCAGGAGCCCUAUGUUCUGGGGACCUCAAGAAGAGAGGAAUUUGCCCAAAUCAUAGGUAUUUCAGAGUACAAAUCCAUGGCUGGGCUAGGCUUUAAAAGGUCUUAUCUGAGAUUCCUUGUAGAACAGAGUUCUAUUAAAGCCAAUUUAAAAGCCUAUGUUAAAUAUAACUAUUCUUGCUGUACUUUAUGCAGAUAAUCAAGCCAAGUAUAAGACUUAAGUUUAUUUUACAAAGAACUCAGUCCUAUCAUGAUUUGUUUUUGACAAAAAUGAGGACUGGAGAGAGAAAAAUUGUUUCAAAACUUAACAUACACUUGUGAUUCCAUUCUAAUCUCAUCAGUUGUUUUCAAGCUUUUGCCAACAUUUUAGACUAAUCCUGCUUAUUCCUGUGAACAAACCAGUGAUACCCAGCUGCAGCUCAGAAGAAACAAAAGGGAUGGAUAAUGUAAAAAUCUGGAUCAAUAUUUUAAUUCUGGGCAAUUAUCCUGCAAAUCCUGGAGGUUUUUUUGUUUGGGAAAAUAAGACCAAGGGAGUCAACCAAAGCUAAGCCCCAUGCAUCCAAAUCUUAGCAGGGAUAACUAUAGCCACCAGUUAUCUGGGCAUGUCAGCAAUCUUGGGAUUGUGGAGCUGUCCUUACUCCCUUGAUUCAUUUUGAUUUACAGCUUCUGAUAACCCAAAUUGCUUCUUCUUGCUAAAAGGCCAUUAAACUUCAAAUGGCGAUGCAAAUGAAACCAUGCAUGGAUGUGCCAUUCUUCCAUGGACCCUUAAACAGACCUCAGGAGGAGCCCUAACUGCCACUUUCCCAAAACAGAACUCCCUGUCAGCAGGAAGCAGUUUAGAAUGGUGAUUGUCUACUUUCCCCAACAGCCGUUGGGGGUCUCCACUCCUGAAGAAGGGAAUGAAAGGAGUUAGCUUUCUUUAGGCAGACAGUAAGGAAAGGUCCCCAGAGAACCUGUGACCAGCCCCACAAGUGCUGACACCAGAUGUUUUGUGCAGAUAAGAGAACUUACACAGUUCUCUUAAGCAUGCCUGCAGUGGACUAAGGGCCCGCAUGCGCACUGGGGGGAUGGAGGGGAGCCACCUGGAAUUCAUGCCUUAUACAAAUAUGGAACCCAGCCCCAUCAGCUUAGAUAUAUAGAAGCCUUUGUAUUCAACUGAGAAGGGGGGAAACUGGGAACCCGCUUUCAGAGCCCCUCUCUCUUUGCUGAGAGCUUUCCUUUCACUUAAAAAAUUCUACUCCACUCAUUCUUUGAGUAUCCAUGUGCCUACUUUUUCCUGGUCAUGAGACAAGAACCCAGACCUAGCUGAGCUAAGGAGCAAAAAAUCCUGCAUCAGUAUUGUGAAUUUUGUUUUUAGUAAUUUCAAGAGUGAAGAAUCAAUGAGUCUUUAUACAAAUAAUUGUUGAAAAUUUGCCUUAAGUAUAAUUUUAAAACCAUGAAAUUAUUAUUGAAAAGUACUGCUAUAUAUAAAACCACUUUUUGUUUGUUGUUGUAUCUGAAAGACUUUUCAAAUCAUGUCAUUGAAGAAAUUCAGGACUAAAUUUAUCCAAUUUGAAGGAAACUACAGAACAUGUUAAGAUAUUUUGUACUAAUAUCUACGGCCAUACCACCCUGAGUACAUGUGAUCUCAUCUGAUCUCAGAAAUGCAACAGAGUUGGUCCUGGUUAGUACUUGGAUGGGAGAAACUUUGUACUCUUAAGCCUGAGAUGACAAAUAAUUUUAAACAUUAGCUAAGAAGAAAAAGUCAAUGUUAUUUCCUCAUUAAAAUUUCUUCAUUACAAAUCAGCCUGCAUUCCUAAAGAAGUACUAAAUCAUAAAUACUUGUUUUGGAUUUAUGUCAAAAAUAAGCAUAAAUUGAGAAACACUGAGUCACAAUGAAGAGAUAAUGAACCUGUUCAUAAUGAACAAAGUUCAAUAUAAGUAAAAGGCCAUAAUCUUUCAGUUCUUCUUUAAGUCAGUAAUAUCAGGGUGGUUUUGCUUUUUCUGUAACUGUGCAGCAUACGACCAACAAAAACCCCCAUCCCACUAUUCUAAUCUGAAAUCAGCAUAAAGUAGAUGGUAUAUAAAUUUAAACAAGAGACCGUGCUGGAAAUGAACCUCCAUGGCAAUGAUAGCUUUGUAGGCUUUUUGAAGAGUUAACUAACCACUCAGAUUAGGACAUUUGGUGUCACAGUCAAAUGUUACAAGUAUGUCCAACUGCCACAGUAACUCCUGAGGAGAUUUAGGGGACAAAUGGGGAAACAGAACAGAAUCAUAAAGAGGAUAUAUUUUAGAGAAUGAGAACUUCACUUUUGGAAUCAAAUUACCUCAGUUUGAAGGCUACGUCCAUCAUUUACUAUAAGACCUAAGCAAGUUGCCUCCACUCUCUAAGCUUAAUUUCUUCUCUAUGAAAUGCAUAUGGAUAAUAACGGCACAAUCUCACAGUGCUGUCAUACAGAUUAAAAUUGAGAAUCCACUAAACCAUUUACCACUGAGCCUGGCACAUAUUAAAUGCUCAAUCAAUGUCAGAAAUCAUGAAAGUUACCAUAAUUCUAUUUUCAUGCCAAUAAUAUACUUACAUGAAUCCUAAAUGUUGGGAAUCUAUUAUGGCUCUAAAGUCUACAUAGACUUAAAGAUUAUAUGGCUUUUUUAAUAUUCAGAAAUUUCUUUCUUGUGACCUAAGUUAUUUUGUGAUUAAAUCUGAACUAAUUUUCUUGAGUACUUUCCUUAGUAAAGCUACAGGAAAAUUAUACUUGUGGACUAGUAGUAAAUUUUUUCUCAUCUUCUGUUCCACAGAUUAAUACCUUCUGGCUCAUUAAGGUCCCUUCACACAUCUUAUUUCCUGAUUAUCUCAAAAUGGGUUUCCACUGAAUUCACCAGACAUUCCUCUUAUGUAAUAAAGGCCAACUUAUAGAACUAUUUGGUCAUAGUACGACAAAUACUAAGUUUAAAGGAAAUGUAAACUAUUGUUACUUUCAUAAUAUGGCCUUGUAGCAUUUAAUUUAAUUUAAUUUAAUUUAAUUUAAUUUAAUAAUUAGCAUGUGUAAAUGCUAUAUACUGUUAUGUAGUGUUUCUCCAAGUAAUUUAUAAUGUCUUGAGUAUCUAUACUAGGUUUUAUAUUUCUGUGUUUCUAGAAUCUACCCACUGCCCAAUGUGGACUCUGUGUGUGUGGGGGGGAGGGUGGGGGUGUGCACGUGUGUGUGGUUAAUGCUGUUAAUUUGAAUUCCUAUCUUCAUCUCUGCAAUGGGCCACUGCUGUUUGAUUCUCCUGCUUUACAGGCUUGCUUCUCCCUCUGCAUUUUUCUGGUGUGACUGUCAGUCAAGGGACUAUACUUUUUCCUCCACAAGAUGAUCACAUGGCCCAAGAUGGUCAAUAAGAGUCUUCUUUUUCUGGGAAUAAUAUGGACACUGGAAGAAAGAAGGUCCUUCUCCCCAAAUUACUAACUGUGAGCAUUAGGUGAGACAGGAGAGUCUGAGGAACUUGCUGCUAUUAGGUGGGGAGUGCAGUCAACACAGAAGCAAGGGAGAGAAUGUCACUAGUUACACAAAAAUGUAUAUAGCUCACCCCAAAGCAGAUCUUUCUCUGUACCUUUCAGUAAUAUGGCCCAAUAAACUUCCCCUCUUCCUUUCAUUUUUUUGCUUAAAGUGGUUUGAGUUGGAUUUCUGUUACUUGCAUUCUGUUACAGUAUUGACUGAUACAAUGGCCAAUAAAGAUUUGAAAUCCACGGCACCAUCUUCUUUAACUAUUCGGAUACUCAUACUUAUCCAGGGAGAGUGGUCUAAUACAAAACUUGUCAAAGCUGAAUAUGGCAACAAAAUAAUAUGUUUCAUCCUAAAAAUUGGCACAAUAUUUGAACUAAACUAGCCUCAGGAAUAACAAAAUCUUAGAAUAGUGCAAAAGUGUGGUUCACUUUUAUUUAAAAGGGGGCAAAUAUAGCCAAUAAUUUGAUCUUCAAUUGAGAAGUGCAACUGCUUGGUAAAAGGAGACCUUACCUUUGUUCUCCGCCCAAAUUUUCUUACAAUUCAUUGUUUACUCUCCACCACUCCAUUGGAAUUUGGUAGAAAUGGCCAGCCAAGGGCUUGCCUCCCUGAGAUGUACACUACUGCACAUCAGCCUUUACUGGCUGGACUGUAGUGCAGGAAAAAAAACACACACAUCUUCUGAGAAUUAUUUUCUCUUUUCUCCAAAUAAAUAAAGAAGGUGAGAUGAAAUAUGGCAAAAUGAAAUAUGACAUGAUGCAUUCCAGAAGACCAAUAAGGCCAAAAGAGGACUAUGGAUCCAAAAUAACAGCAAGAAUUGAAGUCUUGCCUAACAAAAGAUUUCAGAAGGAAGGCAUUUGCUUUGGAGAUUUUUGACUGCAGACUUACUCUUGCUUAAUCCCACGCAAUACCCUCAGUGGUUCAUUUGAAUCAUUUAAGAUGCUACUAUGUGUCAUAUAAUCAUACCAGGCACUGGUCAUACAAACACCUCAUGCUGCAUUCAUUCUUUGGUACCUAGAGAUUCCCACAUGUGUUUCACUCCAGAUUUUUAUUCCUUAUUUUGGAAACUUCUCACCUUCAAAACGCACUUAAGGGUUUAUAUUCCCCAAACACUAUCCCAAACUCCCAAUGUAGCUAAGGUUUCCUCUCUCAGCACCAUCUGCACACACAGUGUUUACCCAUAGAAAAAUACUUUACAUUGCACUGUAAAGUCAAUGUACUGUACUUCUCUACUUCCUUCGAGACUCAAAGGCAGAGAUUUGCCUUUUAAUUCUGAAUUCCCAGCACCUAGCACUGUGUGUGUUUAUACAUU